GAGAGCUUGCUCUUUGGAUCAGUGGCGAACGGGUGAGUAACACGUGAGCAAGCUGCCCCUGACUCUGGGAUAACAGUUGGAAACAGCUGCUAAUACCGGAUAUGAGACGUGACCGCAUGGUCGACGUUUGGAAAGAAUUUCGGUCAGGGAUGAGCUCGCGGCCUAUCAGGUUGUUGGUGAGGUAAUGGCUCACCAAGGCGUCGACGGGUAGCCGGCCUGAGAGGGUGACCGGCCACACUGGGACUGAGACACGGCCCAGACUCCUACGGGAGGCAGCAGUGGGGAAUAUUGCACAAUGGGCGAAAGCCUCAUGCAGCAACGCCGCGUGAGGGACGACGGCCUUCGGGUUGUAAACCUCUUUUAGCAGGGAAGAAGCGAAAGUGACGGUACCUGCAGAAAAAGCGCCGGCUAACUACGUGCCAGCAGCCGCGGUAAUACGUAGGGCGCAAGCGUUAUCCGGAAUUAUUGGGCGUAAAGAGCUCGUAGGCGGUUUGUCGCGUCUGCUGUGAAAACUGGAGGCUCAACCUC
rnacentral:rRNA from 1 species